rnacentral:rRNA from 1 species
AUACGGAAGGUCCGGGCGUUAUCCGGAUUUAUUGGGUUUAAAGGGUGCGAAGGCGGGAGAUUAAGUCGGCGGUGGAAUUUUGCAGCUCAACUGUAAAAGUGUCUUCGAAACUGGGUUCCCUGUGUGUAGAUGAAGUAGGCGGGAUUUGGGGGGUAACGGGGCAAUGAAUAGAUAUCACGAGGAACUCCGGUUGCGCAGGCAGCUUACUAAACUACUACUGACGCUCAGGCACGAAGGCGUGGGGAUCAAACAGGAUUAGAUACCCUGGUAGUCCACGCAGUAAACGAUGAUUACUAGCUGUUUGCGAUACAAUGUAAGCGGCUGAGCGAAAGCGUUAAGUAAUCCACCUGGGGAGUACGUUCGCAAGAAUGAAACUCAAAUGAAUUGACGGGG